UAAGGCAAAGUUACACAAUUAACCAAUAAAAAGUGUACAUCCAAAAAUGCAAAAUUUAUGCAAUUUUGAUUUGAUACUUUGGAAAAGACCUAUAUAAAAACUUCAAACUAGUUCUUCAUCAUGAAAACUUAAUUAAAAUCCAGCAUCUGAAGCAAGGCCAAAGUUACUUGGAAAUGAAUCCUGCACCAAAAACUUUAACCUGUUCACUCGUCCAGAAAAUAAAAUUUAGGUCAGAUUCAGCAUCUGAAGCAAGUCUGGUAGUAUGCAUCCUUAGAUGUAUCAUCCAUGCAAGUUUGGUCACUAUAGUACUCAUAAUUACUUGGAAAUGAGACCUGCACUGAAAACAUAAACCUGUUCACUCAUGCGGAAAAUGUAGGUCAGAUUCAGCAUCCGAAGCAAGCCUGGUAGUGUGCAUCUUAAGAU